rnacentral:rRNA from 1 species
GACGAACGCUGGCGGCGUGCUUAACACGUGCAAGUCGAACGAUGAACCCGGAGCUUGCUCCGGCGGAUUAGUGGCGAACGGGUGAGUAACACGUGAGUAACCUGCCCUUGACUCUGGGAUAACUGCUAGAAAUGGUAGCUAAUACCGGAUACGACCCUCGGUGGCAUCACCAGGGGGUGGAAAGAAUUUCGGUCAAGGAUGGACUCGCGGCCUAUCAGCUAGUUGGUGAGGUAACGGCUCACCAAGGCGACGACGGGUAGCCGGCCGGGGAGGGUGACCGGCCACACUGGGACUGAGACACGGCCCAGACUCCUACGGGAGGCAGCAGUGGGGAAUAUUGCACAAUGGGCGCAAGCCUGAUGCGGCAACGCCGCGUGAGGGAUGACGGCCUUCGGGUUGUAAACCUCUUUUAGUAGGGAAGAAGCGAAAGUGACGGUACCUGCAGAAAAAGCACCGGCUAACUACGUGCCAGCCGCCGCAGUAA